rnacentral:rRNA from 1 species
GGUUAAGCGAAUAAGCGUACACGGUGGAUGCCUAGGCAAUCAGAGGCGAUGAAGGACGUGCUAAUCUGCGAAAAGCGUCGGUAAGGUGAUAUGAACCGUUAUACCCGACGAUAUCCGAAUGGGGAAACCCAGUAUCCAAUGGAUACUAUCAUUAACUGAAUCCAUAGGUUAAUGAGGCGAACCGGGAGAACUGAAACAUCUCAGUACCCCGAGGAAAAGAAAUCAACCGAGAUUCCCCUAGUAGCGGCGAGCGAACGGGGAGCAGCCCAGAGUCUUAAUCAAUAACAGUGUCAGGAGAACGGUCUGGAAAGUCCGGCAGUAAAGGGUGAUAGCCCCGUAUCUGAAGAUGCUGUUGUUGUGAACUCGACGAGUAGGGCGGGACACGUGUUAUCCUGUCUGAAUAUGGGGGGACCAUCCUCCAAGGCUAAAUACUCCUGAUUGACCGAUAGUGAACCAGUACCGUGAGGGAAAGGCGAAAAGAACCCCGGCGAGGGGAGUGAAAAAGAACCUGAAACCGUGUACGUACAAGCAGUAGGAGCCUCUUUAUGGGGUGACUGCGUACCUUUUGUAUAAUGGGUCAGCGACUUAUAUUCUGUAGCAAGGUUAACCGUAUAGGGGAGCCGUAGGGAAACCGAGUCUUAACUGGGCGAAUGAGUUGCAGGGUAUAGACCCGAAAC